rnacentral:rRNA from 1 species
CCCGCCGGCGAGUGGCAAACGGGUGAGUAAUACAUCGGAACGUGCCCAAUCGUGGGGGAUAACGCAGCGAAAGCUGUGCUAAUACCGCAUACGAUCUACGGAUGAAAGCGGGGGAUCGCAAGACCUCGCGCGAUUGGAGCGGCCGAUAUCAGAUUAGGUUGUUGGUGAGGUAAAAGCUCACCAAGGCGACGACGGGUAUCCGGCCUGAGAGGGCGACCGGCCACACUGGGACUGAGACACGGCCCAGACUCC